UACGGAGGGUGCAAGCGUUGUUCGGAAUUAUUGGGCGUAAAGGGCGUGUAGGCGGUUCGUUAAGUCUGAUGUGAAAGCCCCGGGCUCAACCUGGGAAGUGCAUUGGAAACUGGCGGACUUGAGUACGGGAGAGGGCAGUGGAAUUCCCAGUGUAGGAGUGAAAUGCGUAGAUAUCAGGAGGAACACCGGUGGCGAAGGCGGGUCUCUGGGCCGAUAUUGACGCUGAGGAGCGAAAGCGUGGGGAGCAAACAGG
rnacentral:rRNA from 1 species